UCCUAGCUGGUGUAGUGGCUAACAUACGACUCUCUCAUAAUGGUCAGUCGUGCCCAGGGUUCGAUUCCCUGGCUGGGAA